UCAUAUAAGCACCGUACUUAGCCCUCAAAAGGGCACUCCAUAGACAAUCUGGCUCUAAUGUAAAUCUGGCUGCAUGUCGCAUUGCUAGCACCUCCCAUCUCAUCACCAAAGACUGGAUCCCCUGACCCCUUUGAUAUACUAGCUGACAGACCACCUCCCAGGCCAUGAGAUGCAUCCCCCUAUCUCCCUCCUCGGCUGCCCCAAAUGAAACUCCUGAACAGCUGCUCCAACGACCUCAAG
rnacentral:lncRNA from 1 species